rnacentral:rRNA from 1 species
ACGAACGCUGGCGGCGUGCUUAACACAUGCAAGUCGAACGGAAAGGCCCUGCUUGCAGGGUACUCGAGUGGCGAACGGGUGAGUAACACGUGGGGGAUCUGCCCUGCACUUCGGGAUAAGCCGGGGAAACUGGGUCUAAUACCGGAUAGGAGCCAUUUUUAGUGGGAUGGUUGGAAAGUUUUUUCGGUGUAGGAUGAGCUCGCGGCCUAUCAGCUUGUUGGGGGGGUAAUGGCCUACCAAGGCGGCGACGGGGAGCCGGCCUGAGAGGGUGGACGGCCACAUUGGGACUGAGAUACGGCCCAGACUCCUACGGGAGGCAGCAGUGGGGAAUAUUGCACAAUGGGCGCAAGCCUGAUGCAGCGACGCCGCGUGGGGGAUGACGGCCUUCGGGUUGUAAACUCCUUUCGCUAGGGACGAAGCUUUUUGUGACGGUACCUAGAUAAGAAGCACCGGCUAACUACGUG